rnacentral:lncRNA from 1 species
ACUGCACUCCAGCCUGGGCGACAGAGUGAGACUCCAUCUCAAAAAAAAAAAAAAAAAGAAAUACCAGGUGAAGCAUAUGCCCUGCAAGCUUAGGGGUGCUACAGUUGACCACUGCAGCAGUAAAGAUGACUGAAGAAUGGCAUGGGAUGGAUCCUUUCGAAUGCACUUGAGCAGCAGUCUCCAAACACAGGGCCACAGAGCCAGAGAAUGUAUUUGUCACUUCCAGCUGAAUCUACCAUGAAAGACUUCUGAAUCCAGGAAAAGAGACUGACUGGGUAACAUGUUAUUCAGGGUCUCCCUCUGUUGUCCAAGGCUGGAGUGUAGUAGUGC